rnacentral:sRNA from 1 species
UCGAUUAAGGUUCGACUCGAGCGAAAGCGAGAGAACGUUGCCAACGGCAACGGCCCGUAGGGUGAGGAGCGAAGCGACGAAUAAUCCUUCCCCCACCACCA